GAUGAACGCUGACAGAAUGCUUAACACAUGCAAGUCAACUUGAACUUCGGUUUGGGUGGCGGACGGGUGAGUAACGCGUAAAGAACUUGCCUCACAGCUAGGGACAACAUUUGGAAACGAAUGCUAAUACCUGAUAAUAUGAUUAUAUGGCAUCGUAUAAUUAUGAAAGCUAUAUGCGCUGUGAGAGAGCUUUGCGUCCCAUUAGCUAGUUGGAGAGGUAACAGCUCACCAAGGCGAUGAUGGGUAGCCGGCCUGAGAGGGUGAUCGGCCACAAGGGGACUGAGACACGGCCCUUACUCCUACGGGAGGCAGCAGUGGGGAAUAUUGGACAAUGGACCGAGAGUCUGAUCAAGCAAUUCUGUGUGCACGAUGAAGUUUUUCGGAAUGUAAAGUGCUUUCAGUUGGGAAGAAAAAAAUGACGGUACCAACAGAAGAAGUGACGGCUAAAUACGUG
rnacentral:rRNA from 1 species